UCGGACAUGGUGCACGGAGCACCGCCUUCAAAGUUGGGAAUUUGGCAAAAAACCAAAUAUGAGGCAGUCCGGGGUUCGACUCCCCGUGUUCGAA